GUGAAUCAUCGAAUCUUUGAACGCAUAUUGCACUCUCUGGUAUUCCGGAGAGGAUGCCUUUUUUAGGUGAAUUAAAAAGAAUCUUUAACCAAUUUUUUUUGGUCUAAGGAAAUGAGUUGUGCGCGUUUAUAGCGGUAGUUUGAAAUAAAUGGUCAAGUCUCAGUAUAGUCGAGACGCGUACUAAUAUUAUUUCGCGAAAUCUUAAUUAUGUGACUAGCAACUUUUUAUGCAUACAAGUUU
rnacentral:misc_RNA from 1 species